rnacentral:rRNA from 1 species
ACUAACUAGGAUUCCCUUAGUAGCGGCGAGCGAACAGGGAAAAGCCCAGCACUGAAUCCCGUGGUCGGAAACGAUCACUGGGAAAUGUAGUGUUUGGGAGGGUCCGCAUUCCUGCGGUCGCAUGACGUGUCCAAGUCUUUCUUGAACGGGGCCAUUUACCCAUAGAGGGUGCCAGGCCCGUAGGACCGCUGUCGGCUGCGGGAGGAUCUCUCCUUAGAGUCGGAUUGCUUGAAAGUGCAGUCCUAAGCAGGUGGUAAACUCCAUCUAAGGCUAAAUAUGACCACGAGACCGAUAGCGAACAAGUACCGUGAGGGAAAGUUGAAAAGCACUUUGAAGAGAGAGUUAAAGAGUACGUGAAACCGUUCAGGAGUAAACCUGAGAAGCCCGAAAGAUCGAACGAGAAGAUUCAUGCGUGAAUCGGAUGCGCAAUGUAAUCUCUAACAAUUUAGCAGCGUUAAUUCGUUGUUGUUGUUGUGUUAAGUUAGUGCUCCGAACGCGUGCACUUCUUCUCCGGUAGGACGUUGCGACUCGUUGGGUGCCGAUCUAAGGCCCGGUGUGGAGCCCAUUGUUUUGUGCCUUGCGCAUCUAACGGUGGACCACUGGACGCCCGAUCGGCCCGCUCGACGGUAUUGAGAUGGCGCGGUGCCGCGACUUGUUCGCGUCCAACCCGUCACAAGCGCGCACGGCUACCAGGAUGUACGGAACUUAAUGUAGCCGUUGCCUGGCCCGUGCGACUGUUGGUGGCGGUGUUCUUGGGCAGACACCGACACGCCUGUCAGCGACGCUACUGUUUUGGGCAAUUUCAGGACCCGUCUUGAAACACGGACCAAGGAGUCUAGCAUGUGCGCAAGUCAUUGGGACUUGCAAACCCCACAGGCACAAUGAAAGUAAAAAUGCGUCGCACCUACGGGUGCGCGUAUCCAGGGUAGAUGGGCCGUGCAUCGUCGCGGCCCCGCAUACCCGGGGCGUCUCAAUAUCUCAUUGCGAGAUGAGGCGCACCUAGAGCGUACAUGCUGGGACCCGAAAGAUGGUGAACUAUGCCUGGUCAGGACGAAGUCAGGGGAAACCCUGAUGGAGGUCCGAAGCGAUUCUGACGUGCAAAUCGAUCGUCGGAACUGGGUAUAGGGGCGAAAGACCUAUCGAACCAUCUAGUAGCUGGUUCCCUCCGAAGUUUCCCUCAGGAUAGCUGGCGCUCAUAUACCGAGUUUCAUCCGGUAAAGCGAAUGAUUAGAGGCAUUGGGGUCGAAACGACCUCAACCUAUUCUCAAACUUUAAAUGGGUGAGAUCUGCAUCUUGCUUAAAUAGUGAAGUGCUAGAGAGAAGAG